CUCCGCAACUUUCCUUUGCUUGUUGUUUGUUGCUCAUGUUGGAGUGCCCACCUUUCAUCAGCUUCCAAGCAGUUUUUUGAAUGUUGUAGUGGAAUGAAGUGCUGUGGGUGGUUUCGUAUCAGCUUCAUUAGAUUGGAGUUGUUUCCUAUAUUUAUUAUUUAUUAAUUUCAUUUUUUUUGCAUAGCAUUUUGCAGGAGGUGAUAUGAUUUGUCAGUCAUGACGAUGGAUGAAAUUCGACGAGAAAGAAUGUGGUUUUUUGUUUUUGUUUUUUCUUUUGUUUGUUGUUGUGAGUGUUGAAUCGUGGUAGUGUGAAUCUGGCGGCGAGCGUGAAAAAACUUGCUACAAUCAUUUUCGUACCAGUGCGUUCCUCCAAACCACCACGCUCACGUUGAUGCGAAGUUGGUCUGAAGGAGUUCAUUGGUACACAAAUCAUAAGAGCAUGGAGGACCGGAGAAUCGAGGUGUCCCCCAGCACGGAGUAGAAGGCUUGCGCAAUGUGGCUUCGGAGUGAUGUGUCUCUAUCGUAGUCAUCGUGCGGUUAUGUUUGGGCUUAUGGGGACGUUACCUCUAUUAAGAUCGAUUCGUGCAUGGAGCCUGUCCAUGUAGUCGAUUCAAGAAUACUGAACAGAAUCAUGCAGCGAAACUGGCUUCCCACUUCCGGAUUCAUCAUAUCUAUGAUCUAAAUUUCAGUUCGGAAUUGCAGAAAACAUCAAGCUUCUCAUGGUUCCUGUUUGCUUCAUACUUCACGCCUGCUACUUUUCAUUAGUUGUAUAACUGGCAUAAUCUGUGAUUUUAUGUGAACACUCUCACCGCAGUCGUUGGUGAGAUCGCCAGUCUCCUUUGAUUUUACGUAAAUUUUAAUAAAUAAAUAAAUGCAUUCUGGCGCUGUCAAAUUCAUGAA